UGGGGGAAUAUUGCACAAUGGGCGAAAGCCUGAUGCAGCAACGCCGCGUGAGUGAUGAAGGUCUUCGGAUUGUAAAGCUCUGUCUUUUGGGACGAUAAUGACGGUACCAAAGGAGGAAGCCACGGCUAACUACGUGCCAGCAGCCGCGGUAAUACGUAGGUGGCGAGCGUUGUCCGGAUUUACUGGGCGUAAAGGGUGCGUAGGCGGAUGUUUAAGUGAGAUGUGAAAUACCCGGGCUUAACUUGGGUGCUGCAUUUCAAACUGGAUAUCUAGAGUGCAGGAGAGGAGAAUGGAAUUCCUAGUGUAGCGGUGAAAUGCGUAGAGAUUAGGAAGAACACCAGUGGCGAAGGCGAUUCUCUGGACUGUAACUGACGCUGAGGCA
rnacentral:rRNA from 1 species